rnacentral:lncRNA from 1 species
CCGCCGCGUUCCCCUCGAUUUGCACCGUCACUCGGGCUGUUGGGAAGGCAGAGGGGAGGCGCUCUGCGUGCCUCCGUGUACCUGGAUCUGAGUGCAGAAGUGUGUGUGAAUGCCUGUGCCUCUGUGUGUAAGAACACACCUCCGUUCAAGGGGCUUUGGAGUGUCUGCCGGUGCGACAACGGAGGAAGGUGAGUCCAUGAGACUGUGGCGCGGCCACACGCG